UAGGGAAUCUUCCGCAAUGGACGAAAGUCUGACGGAGCAACGCCGCGUGAGUGAUGAAGGUUUUCGGAUCGUAAAACUCUGUUGUUAGGGAAGAACAAGUACCAGAGUAACUGCUGGUACCUUGACGGUACCUAACCAGAAAGCCACGGCUAACUACGUGCCAGCAGCCGCGGUAAUACGUAGGUGGCAAGCGUUGUCCGGAAUUAUUGGGCGUAAAGCGCGCGCAGGCGGUCCUUUAAGUCUGAUGUGAAAGCCCACGGCUCAACCGUGGAGGGUCAUUGGAAACUGGGGGACUUGAGUACAGAAGAGAAGAGUGGAAUUCCACGUGUAGCGGUGAAAUGCGUAGAGAUGUGGAGGAACACCAGUGGCGAAGGCGACUCUUUGGUCUGUAACUGACGCUGAGGCGCGAAAGCGUGGGGAGCAAACA
rnacentral:rRNA from 2 species